rnacentral:rRNA from 1 species
UACCGAGGUCUCAAGCGUUGUUCGGAUUCCUUGGGCGUAAAGGGUGCGUAGGCGGCGCGGUAAGUCGGGUGUGAAAUUUCGGAGCUUAACUCCGAAACUGCAUUCGAUACUGGCGUGCUUGAGGACUGGAGAGGAGACUGGAAUUUACGGUGUAGCAGUGAAAUGCGUAGAUAUCGUAAGGAAGACCAGUGGCGAAGGCGGGUCUCUGGACAGUUCCUGACACUGAGACACGAAGGCCAGGGGAGCAAACGGG